UACGGGGGGGGCAAGCGUUGUUCGGAAUUACUGGGCGUAAAGGGCUCGUAGGCGGCCAACUAAGUCGGAUGUGAAAUCCCCAGGCUCAACCUGGGAACUGCAUCCGAUACUGGAUGGCUUGAAUCCGGGAGAGGGAUGCAGAAUUCCAGGUGUAGCGGUGAAAUGCGUAGAUAUCUGGAGGAAUACCGGUGGCGAAGGCGGCAUCCUGGACCGGCAUUGACGCUCAUGCACGAAAGCGUGGGGAGCAAACAGG
rnacentral:rRNA from 1 species